GAGGGGGUACCUGACGAGGAUAGAGGUUCUGUCAUGAGAAGGUAAAAACCGCAGGACCAGGGCCAGAGGACCCGCAGACCGAUGGGAGAUAGGGUGGAUGAAACAGCACAGAAAGCCAGGCAUGGCGGGAAAGACUGAGGGACAAGCCGGUACAGAUGCGUGGAAAGACGUGCAGAGGAGAUGAUGGGGGUCUGAUGGCGGGUAUUGCAAGGGCUGAGGACAAAGGUGGAGCCAACUACUAUGGGCACCCAGCGUGGACCACCGUGGGCCCACAGUAUAUAUGUCGGUAUGCAUUUGUUGUCUCGAUGACCAAGCCCUGGGAUUCUGCAGCUGUAAAGAAACCAUAGCAGGGACUUUUCCCAGAAUGUGGACUCCAGCCUCAUGAGGACUCCAGACCCCAGGAUUCCAGCCUCAGCAUCCCAGGCUGAGAGGCCAAUGCUGGGGGCGGGGGUGUUUAGCUCUAGCUCCAGCGAAAGUAGACCCACCAUCCCCUUCUUCCCAUCCCCAGGCAGGAGCUGGCAGGAGAUCAGAUGCUACUUCAAUUCCAAGUGGCUCAUGAACAAAAGCUGUGAAGUUGCUAAGAAACCUGCUUCUCUGAGGGUU